AGCAAUCAGCGAGACUCCGUGGGCGUAGGACCCUCAGAGCCAGGUGCGGGAUAUAGUCUCGUGCUGCACCAUUUUUUAAGCCCGUCAGAAAAGCAGGGUAUUCGGGUGGGAGUGACCCGAUUUUCCAGGUGCCGUCCGUCACCCCUUUCUUUGACUCAGAAAGGGAACUCGCUGACCCCUUGUGCUUCCCAAGUGAGGCAAUGCCUCGCCCUGCUUCGGCUCGCGCACGGUGCACGCACCCACUGACCUGCGCCCACUAUCUGACACUCCCUAGUGAGAUGAACCCGGUACCUCAGAUGGAAAUGCAGAAAUCACCCGUCUUCUGCGUCGCUCACGCUGGGAGCUGUAGACCGGAGCUGUUCCUAUUCGGCCAUCUUGGGGGAGCUCGAGAUUAUUAACCAAAAAAUUUCCUGUCCAAAAGCUGUGUUCUUUAGUGGGAAAGUCUUGCAGAACUCCCCUCUGAACUAAUACUGGAAGCAAAGAAGUAAGACAUAUCAAGAUUUAAAACAUAAAUAGCUUGGAACACCCUGAAGAGCAACAUGGGAGAAACUGAGAAAAGAAUUGAAACCCAUAGAAUAAGAUGUCUUUCCAAGUUGAAGAUGUUUCUGUUGGCAAUAACAUGUGCAUUUGUAUCCAAAACACUGUCUGGAUCUUAUAUGAAUUCCAUGCUCACACAAAUAGAGAGACAAUUCAACAUCCCAACAUCUCUAGUUGGAUUCAUUAAUGGAAGCUUUGAGAUUGUGACGGAGUUUCACCAUGUUGGUCAGGCUGGUCUCAAACUUCAGACCUCAGGUGAUCUGUCUGCCUCGGCCUCCCGAAGUGGAAACAGCCUUCUUUUGAAAGAAGAUGCCAUCUCGGACUUUCAGAGAUAGG
rnacentral:lncRNA from 10 species